rnacentral:misc_RNA from 1 species
CGCACCUUGCGCCCUUUGGCAUUCCGAAGGGCACGCCUGUUUGAGUGUCGUGAACUCCUCCACCCUCACCUUUUUCGGAAGGUCGUCGGGCUGGGAUUUGGGAGCUUGCGGGUCCCUGGCCGAUCCGCUCUCCUUGAAUACAUUAGCAAAGCCCUUGCGGCCUUGGUGUGAUAGUAAUCUACGCCUCGGCUUAGCGAACGUAUGGGAAUUGCUUCUAACCGUCUCGCAAGAGACAGCUUUACCAACUUGACCUCAAAUCAGGCGGGACUACCCGCUGAACUUAA